AGCGAACGCUGGCGGCAGGCUUAACACAUGCAAGUCGAGCGGGCACUUUCGGGUGUCAGCGGCGGACGGGUGAGUAACGCGUGGGAACGUGCCCUCUGGUUCGGAAUAACUCAGGGAAACUUGAGCUAAUACCGGAUACGCCCUUUUGGGGAAAGGCUUGCUGCCGGAGGAUCGGCCCGCGUCUGAUUAGCUAGUUGGUGAGGUAACGGCUCACCAAGGCGACGAUCAGUAGCUGGUCUGAGAGGAUGAUCAGCCACACUGGGACUGAGACACGGCCCAGACUCCUACGUGAGGCAGCAGUGGGGAAUAUUGGACAAUGGGCGCAAGCCUAAUCCAGCCAUGCCGCGUGAGUGAUGAAGGCCUUAGGGUUGUAAAGCUCUUUUAUCCGGGACGAUAAUGACGGUACCGGAGGAAUAAGCCCCGGCUAACUUCGUG
rnacentral:rRNA from 1 species